CACACAUGUUUACGAUUAAUUAAACUGCUGGAUAAAUUUAAAUGUUCCCAGUAUUGGCCGAAUUUUUGUUAUUAACAUGACUGACGCACAGUCGCAACGAAGUAAAGAAAAAAAACAUUUAUAUAAUAAAUGCUCCUAAGCAUUUUAUGCGAAUGUCUGUCCUAUCACACGUAAUAAUGCUAAUUGUUCCACGAAUCCUUUGUAUCUGAUUAGUCAAUUAGAGCAGGUGUAAAGUGGGCAUGAUUUGCCAAGUAUUUACAAUAUCACAAACAAUCUGAUGUUAUGUUUUAGUAAUCAUGAAUAUGAAUCUCCCUUAAGCUUCCAAUGUCGACUCGAAGAUUAUAUUUAUAUCCAAAACACCCCCUUCAGACUGAUCCCAGAUCUCACAAAUAGAAAACGAAGAUGAUUUGCCGCAUCCACAGCAUCCGACAUGGCUAAGGUUUCUGCAGCAUGAGUACUUCUAACCACUCUUCGGAUCUUUUUAGAUUGCCAAGAAAGUAAAUUGCACUGGUUGUUUUCUUCAACUAAAAAUAUGAAAUAAGUUUCCUGACUUCCUCCAAUACACAAAUUUGCAAAA